GAUGAACGCUGGCGGCGUGCCUAAUACAUGCAAGUCGAGCGAACAGACGAGGAGCUUGCUCCUCGGACGUUAGCGGCGGACGGGUGAAUAACACGUGGAUAACCUACCUAUCAGACUGGGAUAACUUCGGGACACCGGAGCUAAUACCGGAUAAUAUAUUGAACCGCAUGGUUCGAUAGUGAAAGACGGUGUUGCUGGCACUUAUAGAUGGAUCCGCGCCGUAUUAGCUGGUUGGUAAGGUAACGGCUUACCAAGGCAACGAUGCGUAGCCGACCGGUGAGGGUGAUAGGCGACACUGGAACUGAGACACGGUCCAGACUCCUGCGGGAGGCAGCAGUAGGCAAUCUUCCGCAAUGGUCGAAAGCCUGACGGAGCAACGCCGCGUGAGUGAUGAAGGUCUCCGGAUCGUAAAACUCUGUUAUUAGGGAAGAACCAAUGUGUACGUAACUAUGCACGUCUUGACGGUACCUAAUCAGAAAGCCACGGCUAACUACGUG
rnacentral:rRNA from 1 species